GGCAGUGGUAGCUCAGUGGUUAAAAUGCUGGACUUCUGCUCGGAAGGCUGUGAGUUCAAAUCCCAGCACUGCCA